GAUGAACGCUGGCGGCGUGCCUAAUACAUGCAAGUCGAGCGAACGGACGAGAAGCUUGCUUCUCUGAUGUUAGCGGCGGACGGGUGAGUAACACGUGGAUAACCUACCUAUAAGACUGGGAUAACUUCGGGAAACCGGAGCUAAUACCGGAUAAUAUUUUGAACCGCAUGGUUCAAAAGUGAAAGACGGUCUUGAUGUCACUUAUAGAUGGAUCCGCGCUGCAUUAGCUAGUUGGUAAGGUAACGGCUUACCAAGGCAACGAUGCAUAGCCGACCUGAGAGGGUGAUCGGCCACACUGGAACUGACACACGGUCCAGACUCCUACGGGAGGCAGCAGUAGGGAAUCUUCCGCAAUGGGCGAAAGCCUGACGGAGCAACGCCGCGUGAGUGAUGAAGGUCUUCGGAUCGUAAAACUCUGUUAUUAGGGAAGAACAUAUGUGUAAGUAACUGUGCACAUCUUGACGGUACCUAAUCAGAAAGCCACGGCUAACUACGUG
rnacentral:rRNA from 1 species